UACGGAGGGUGCAAGCGUUGUCCGGAUUUAUUGGGCGUAAAGAGCGUGUAGGCGGCUAGAUAGGUCCGUUGUGAAACCUGGAGGCUCAACCUCCAGCUGUCGAUGGAAACCAUCUGGCUAGAGUCCGGAAGAGGAGAGUGGAAUUCCUGGUGUAGCGGUGAAAUGCGCAGAUAUCAGGAAGAACACCCGUGGCGAAGGCGGCUCUCUGGGACGUGACUGACGCUGAGACGCGAAAGCGUGGGGAGCGAACAGG
rnacentral:rRNA from 1 species